UACAGAGGGUGCGCGCGUUAAUCGGAAUUACUGGGCGUAAAGCGCGCGUAGGCGGCUUUGUAAGUCGGUUGUGAAAUCCCCGGGCUUAACCUGGGAACUGCAUCCGAGACUGCAUAGCUAGAGUAUGGGAGAGGGAAGUGGAAUUUCAGGUGUAGCGGUGAAAUGCGUAGAUAUCUGAAGGAACAUCAGUGGCGAAAGCGACUUCCUGGACCAAUACUGACGCUCAUGUGCGAAAGCGUGGGGAGCAAACAGG
rnacentral:rRNA from 1 species